GAUGAACGCUGGCGGCGUGCCUAAUACAUGCAAGUCGAGCGAACAGACGAGGAGCUUGCUCCUUUGACGUUAGCGGCGGACGGGUGAGUAGCACGUAGGUAACCUACCUAUAAGACUGGGAUAACUUCGGGAAACCGGAGCUAAUACCGGAUAAUAUUUCGAACCGCAUGGUUCGAUAGUGAAAGAUGGCUUUGCUAUCACUUAUAGAUGGACCUGCGCCGUAUUAGCUAGUUGGUAAGGUAACGGCUUACCAAGGCAACGAUACGUAGCCGACCUGAGAGGGUGAUCGGCCACACUGGAACUGAGACACGGUCCAGACUCCUACGGGAGGCAGCAGUAGGGAAUCUUCCGCAAUGGGCGAAAGCCUGACGGAGCAACGCCGCGUGAGUGAUGAAGGUCUUCGGAUCGUAAAACUCUGUUAUUAGGGAAGAACAAACGUGUAAGUAACUGUGCACGUCUUGACGGUACCUAAUCAGAAAGCCACGGCUAACUACGUG
rnacentral:rRNA from 1 species